AACGAACGCUGGCGGCAUGCCUAACACAUGCAAGUCGAACGAUCCCUUCGGGGAUAGUGGCGCACGGGUGCGUAACGCGUGGGAACCUGCCCUUAGGUUCGGAAUAACUCAGAGAAAUUUGAGCUAAUACCGGAUAAUGUCUUCGGACCAAAGAUUUAUCGCCUUUGGAUGUGCCCGCGUUGGAUUAGCUAGUUGGUGGGGUUAAGGCCUACCAAGGCGACGAUUCCUAGCUGGUCUGAGAGGAUGAUCAGCCACACUGGGACGUAGACACGGCCCAGACUCCUACGGGAGGCAGCAGUGGGGAAUAUAGGAAAAUGGGCGAAAGGCUGAUCCUGCAAUGCCGCGUGAGUGAUGAAGACCUGAGAGUUGUAAAGCUCUAUUACCCGGGAUGAUAAUGACAGUACCGGGAGAAUAAGCCCCGGCUAACUACGUG
rnacentral:rRNA from 1 species